rnacentral:rRNA from 1 species
GGAUUGCAUGCGCGCAGCUGAUGCAGCCAUGCCGCGUGAGUGAUGAAGGCCUUCGGGUUGUAAAGCUCUUUCGUAGGGAGGAAAGUGCCGGUGUUAAUAUCAUAAGGACCUGACGUUUCCUAGCCAACAAGCGCGGCUUACUCCGUGCCAGCAGCCGCGAUAAUAA